rnacentral:lncRNA from 1 species
GAAAAAAAUGUACCAACAGUUUUCGCUAUGACAUGAGAUCAUUUGUAGAUCUGCAGGUCUCUAUCAAAGUUCUAAUGACAGCGGGAUUAAUUGCUAUUUUUUGAGAACAAGAGCUUUUGUUAUAUAUAGAGACUGGUAGCAGAUCUUUGUGCUGCUGUUGGAGAAUUGUUGCAUGUUUGGGCAACCUUGUUUUGUGUAGCUUAAUCAAAUCUGCCUCUUCUCCUGAUCCCGAAAGAUAAAAUAAAAUAAUGAGGAUCUAUGCUUAGUUUAGUUUAUCAGGCAAUGAUUUGUAUCGUCUCAUAAAAUCCCUCAACCUUGAGUUUAACUUUUUAAUUGGUUAAUUUACACUGUUAUGGCAAUUCAGGUAUAGUGAUUGAGGUAUGCAAAUGAAAAAGGUAUACCAAUGAACUAAAUUCCUUUUGCAUAACGGCAUUACAAAUUCACCAUCAAAACAGCAUAGAACUAAACCAAUUUCUCACAAUUGAAAAUAAUUCUUCAAUCAGUAACGAACUAACAAUUUAACAACAAAAAUAACAAUAAAUACCUAAUUUUCAGACCCAAUCAUCAGCUUCGAACUUCAACAUCAUUGUUGUUGAUACUCCUCAAGCUACCCCUUCUCGCUUUUCUUAAAUACAUUCAUUGAGGUAUACGAGCUGGUAAAACGCCGGAGUCGGAGAUGGUUGUAAAGGUAAGUAGACGCCGACUAAAAACUGCAUUCUCGGAGGUGAACAGUUUCCCAAAUCCCAAUUGGCAUUAAUU